ACAAGUUGGACGUCAGUGAUGAACUUCCUUCCAGGAAGUAUAUGUAUAUAGUAUAUAUGAGUGUAAAUACUUAUCACAUACUGUACUUGUGUUUAUUGAUUUAUCUGUGGAUCACAAUGUUUUCCAUGUUAUGGAAUGUGCUGAUAUUCCUUUGCUGUUUGAAAGGUAAUUUUAUACAAUUUCGUACUUUUUUUUAUAAAUAGAGGAAGAUGUGGCGUGAGUGCCAAUGAGACAACUCUCCAUCCAAAUAACAAUUUAUAAAAGUAAACCAUUAUAGGUCAAUGAACGGCCUUCAACACGGAACCUUGACUCACACCGAACAACAAGCUAUGAAAGGCCCCAAAAUUAUUUGUGUAAAACCAUUCAAACGGGAAAACCAUCGGUCUAAUCUAUAUAAAAAACGAGAAACGAGAAACACGUACUAUAAAUUACACAAACAAACGACAACUACUGUACAUCAGAUUCCUGACCUAGGACAGGUUCAAGCAUUUGCAGCGGGAUUAAACGUUUUAAUGGUACCAAACCUUCUCCCUUUUUCCUUUUUUUUUUUUUUUUUGGAUUCGAGCGUCACUGAUGAGUUUUUUUGUAGACGAAAAGCACGUCUGACGUAAAUAAAAAAUUAAAACCUGGCAUCUAUGAUGAUUUUAUUUAUAACUUCAUUUCGUUUUCAAGUUUUAUUUGGGGUGCUAAAUAUUCCAAUAGCAUAAUAUAAAAAUGACAGCUUAUAUUGAGGCAGUGUACUAAAACUAAAGCAUUAAAAUGAAAACAAGAUAGAAAAUGAAUGUUGAAUGAACAAAAAAAAUAAAUGACAUUGUAGUGAAUCUGUUUACUGUACUACGGAAGCCGAUAAGGGCCAUUCAAAAAGAAAAAAAUAUGUCGUUAUAACGACAUCGCUAUGUCGUAAUUUCGACAUAACAUGUCGUUAUAACGACAUCGCUAUGUCGUAAUUUCGACAUAUCAUGUCGUAAUAACGACAACACUAUGUCGUUAAAACGACAUAGCUAUGUCGUUAUAACGACAUCGCUAUAUAUAUAAAAGAAUAUGUAUUAUGAUUGCCAAGAGACUAAAUGACACAGAAAUUAAACAACUUUAUGUCAUCAUAAUGCCCCAAUAAUGAGAAAAGCCCCACAAUAGUCAGCUAUAAAAGAGGGAGGAAAGAUACCAGAGGGAGAGCCCCCGAAAUGCUGUGUGGCAGACAGUGUUAUUAAUUAAUUAUUAGCUCCCUUGGUAAAACUCCACAUUUCAUAUUUAAUGUAUUUCAUUGUUAAAUAAUUUCCAUGAAGCUUAAUAAGUACAUAUUUGUUAAUUGCAUAGACUUUGCUAUUUGAAUUCAUUGGUUAGAGAUAUUAAUUUAUAUUGUAAAGUUUAAUAUUUGCAUCGUAGCAAAAUCUUUGGUUACCUUCUUUGAAUAGAUUCAGUGAGAAACUUAUAUAUUUUAUAGAUCCCAUGUAAUUAUACCGACCCUGUAAGUUAGGUCUAACAUUCAUUCCUACCAAGGCAAGUCAAGCUAUCCAUCUCCCUACAAAUAAGUGCAAACUUGAAGGCUUUUUGUAAUAAGGUUGAAUUGAAGUAUUUCUACUUUCAAACGUUGGGCACGAUGUUCCUACAACGCCUAGGAUUUAAAACAGAAUCUUCGAAAUUUCAUCCGCAAACAAAAUAAAAAUAAAAAUGUUAGAAAACACGAAACAAUAUUGUAACAAAUUCAGUAUAUGUUUUAAAUUAUGUUUUUACAGCUCUUGAUCAUAUACUAAGUAAUAUCUAGUUUAUUUGAGGAUAAAAAUAAGAAGGCUAUGUGAAAAAAACGGAUGUCCAACGUUACAGUUUUAUGAAAAAAACUGUUUUAACUCUUAUGUAUAGUGAUCCUAUUUCUUAUUCUCCGAUCUUCUUGAUUCUUGCAGGAACAACGACAUGUGUUGAUUCUCUGUGCCGUUAAAGCCGUUUUUUGCCAAAUUUCAUUUGACUCGAUGACUGCAUAUUAAGCUGGAAUAAGAAAAAUGUCCAACGACGUUCUUCAUUAACUCAACGACUGAAAGUGAAUUUUAUAAGUAGAUAAAGCAGAAAAUGAAUAAAAAGAGUAAGACAAUAAUGAUAUCUAACAAAAGUACAAAUAUUUGCCUCAUGUGAGUUCAAAUAUUGCUGAUUCAAUAAAAAUCUUCUCUACACAGUCGUUUUUCAAACGGUAACCAUUUUGUCCAAGUUGAUAUUUCAUUUUUCAAAGCAGUUAGAAUAGUAAGAUACACGAACAGUAAAAAAUGACAAGAUUCUUUUCUUAUUACCUACAUAUUUGGGUCUUAAAGGAAUAAAAGCUUCCACACAUUACAAAACGGUAGCCAAUUUGUCCAACGUCUGAAAACGUCUAAAAUCCUAAAGACGCUAAUUUCGACGUUACAUGUGCUAAAGUUUCAAUUAAAUGUUCAUGAUACUUAAAACAAAUCGUGUUAUAAAAUUUGGAAAAAGAGGUUGAUGAUUGCUGCCGAAAAAAAAAGAAUAGUGCAUGUUGCUAUAGACUCGCCCGGGGACAUAGGUUCGACACAGGUUAAAUUUGCAAUUUUUAUUAAUCGUUUAUAGCUUUUAACGAUUUAUUUAAAAGAAUUGGGAAAUGGGAAAACAUCCCAUUACAUGAACUUCGUCCAACUUUUGCAAAGACAAAUUGGAGACACCAAGACAGUCCUCUAAAUGUAAAAUGCGAAUUGAAAUUUAUGUUACGGAAGUACUCCGAAAUAGAUCAUUUAAAGUCGUCACUUCAGUAAGGUGCAACCACCAAUAUUUAAAGACUUAAUACCAGUUCACGGAAUAUGUUUUACUUCGUGAUUUGUCCUGCUAUUCAUGUUAACUUAUAACGGUCGUGAUGAAAAUAAUUCCUGUACUAGCGAAGCCGGAACUUUUCGUCAAUAUAAACUUGUGCAUGAAACGGAGGUAAUUGAAAGACGAAUCCCAAACAGCAACGAAAACCGUUUCAUCGAAUUAAUAAAAAACCCGGAUUAUAUUUGCCGUUUUCGCGGACGAUCCAGGAGUAGAUUACUAUACUUUAGAAUGUAUAUCAGAAGUUUUAAACGCUAUAGAUGACUUGGGAAUAAUUCUCAAGCCAAGGUUCAAGUAAUUGAAGGGGUGUAUUUCGACAACUUAUGUGCCAGGGAAAAUACAAUUCUAUUCAAAUUUAACCAAGGGUAAAAAUGUUCGAUUUACUUGCAGAGUGUCAGAUAUUUUGUAUUGGUUGAAUUAAGAUAUAGAAAUUUUACAAUGACAGAUGAUAUGCACCUUGAAAGUUAAACAUCCUAUGAUAAACAAAAAUAUGGAAAACGUAUACAACUUCCGUCCCAUCUUUCCUUCCUACUUUACUUGCGACAGUACUGCUUUUUAGUUGAAAUAACUUAAAGAGUAAACAUUAUUAAAUCGAUUUCCACAACUCGAGGUAAUUUUUGACAUCACAAAACGAACAGAACCAGAAUCAACCAACAAAUUAUGAAAAACCGAAUAAAACUUGCAAAAAUUAAACGAAGUCAAAAACCCUCUUCGACCCGCAUGUUAAAGUGUAACGUCGUGUUGUUGGAAUUUGUGCCCAACGUUUGAAAGUAGAAAUAGAGCUAUCAAUACUUCAAUUCACCCUUAUACAAAAGCCAUGUAGUUUGCGCUUAUAUAAAGGGAGAUGAAUGCUUGCCAUACAAUGUCAGUCUCAUAUAUUUCCACGUCUUAUUUGUUUAUUUCAAACUUGUCGGCUGUACAGCCCUUCCAUGGCAGGAACUUAUAAAACUAGACGCUUUUAAAAUAUACAAGUUUCUCACUGAAGGUACCAAAGAAGGUAACCAAAGAUUUUGCGACGAUGCAAAUAUUAAACUUUACAAUAUAAAUAAAAAAUCCUUAACCAAUGAUUCAAAUAGCAAAAGCUAUGCAAUUAACAAAUAUAUACUUAUUAAGCUUCAUGUAAAUUAUUUAACAAUGAAAUACAUUAAAUUGAAAUUUGGAGUUUUUACCAAGGGAGCUAAUAAUUAAUUAAUAACACUGUCUGCCACACAGCAUUUCGGGACUCUCCCUUUGGUAUUUUCCUCCCUCUUUAUAGCUGACUAAUCGGGGCUUUUAUAAUUAUUGGGGCAUUAUGAUGACCCAUAGUUGUUAAUUUCUGUGUCAUUUAGUCUCUUGGCAAUCAUAAUACAUAUUCUUUUAUAUAUAGCGAUGUCGUUAUUACGACAUAGCUAUGUCGUUAAACGACAUAGAGAUGUCGUUAAUACGACAUUAUGUCGAAAUUACGACAUAGCAAUGUCGUUAUAACGACAUGUUAUGUCGAAAUUACGACAUAGCGAUGUCGUAAUAACGACAUGUUAUGUCAAAUUACGACAUGCUAUGUCGUAAUUACGACAUAAAAUAUUUUUUUUGAAUGCCCUUAUGGCUUCCGUUUUACUGUUAUUAUGAGAGAAAAAAUAACCCUUUUUUUUUAAAUUAACUGUAGUGACUGUCUUAUUUAUUGACCUGUUAAUGGAACCCUUCUUGUCCCCUUUUAAGAUAAGAAAAUAUGUUUACGAUUUUCGGGAUACGAUCAUUUUGCAAGAUCCAAAAUACGUUGUAAUUUAUACAAUACUUAUAUAAAGUAGAUUGAUGUGGUAUGUUGUUAUCAUGGACAAAUUUCCAUAAGAACCAAAGGAAGUAUGGUUAACAACCAUCCGUCAUCUAGACCUUCAAAUAACCCAUAAAAUAAAAAUGUAAAAGGUUUUGCAUAAUAAUGGAGAGCAAAAAUAUAGAACAAAGGACUUUCUGAGCGUCAAGAAUCACUUGCUGUAUCUGUAAGAUUUUUUCAACAUAAUUUUUUUGUCUGAACGGUUAUCAGNUGGACGAAAGAUGUUGCCCUUUUAUGUAAUUAUGUAAUACAAGUUACGAUCAUUUGAAAACACAGUCAUAUUAAACAGCCAAAUGGAUGCACAAGAGCUAAAAUAGGAGUCAUAGAUCCUAUUGACAACAAUUAUCUGCCCAAUUUUAUUGAUUUUGUAACAUUUGUUUCAAAUAUGACCAACUUAUUAUCCAAAAUCAUCAGCACCGUAUCAGGGCCCACCAGCACAGUAUCAGGACAUGAAUAAAUUGAGAAAAUGCUAAAUUUUAAUAAAUUGCAAUGUUUUUUCACAAAAUAGUUUUGUCGUGUGGAUUGUGGUAUAGAAAGCGGACUCUAUGAGCAUUUUUGUUUUAUUUUUUCAGUUCUAGAUUUUCUGAAAAUGAGCAUUUUUGUGUUACGCUUACUGAAACAGUUUAGAGGGUCAACUUUUUAAUGGUUUACAUAUGAACCCAUCAGAAACAAAAUUGAAAAAUCUCAACUGUUUUCUUCCAUUUUUUAUGAGUGAAAACGUCAAAAAUCAUCAUUUUCGUCUUUGUUUACAUUUUUUCAUUGAUCACCAGCACCCGUCAGGACCGAAUCACCAGCACAGAACGUUCUCUCGCAGGACAACCAUACCCACCGUGGUAAUUGAAGUCACAAUUGAAAUUGCAACGCCAAAUGAAUUUGUAACAACACCUUAUAAGAUCAAUAUGUACAUUUUGAUUUUGUGGGUGUUGCUCGUUAGGAAAUUAAAUGCAAACAUUCUAAAAGUAAGUUUACAUGUGUCUGUUCUUUUAUUAUCGUUAGACUGUUGAUUUUCUAUAAAGUUUUGGUUCUUCAAAUGCAAAUGGCGACAUUUAGAGUGUGUAUUUUAGGUCCGCUUUGAUGUACCAAAUUUCAAAAUAUUCCUAUUAGAAUCGAAAAAAAAUCUAUCAUGCCAUGCUUUAUAAAAAGUAAAAUCACAAAAAUACUGAACUCAGAGGAAAGUCUAAUCGGAAAGUCCAUAAUCACAUGAUAAAAUCAAAUGACAAAACACAUCAAAAACGAAUGGACAAGAAUGCUCAUUUUACCAUAAGUAGGCAUUACAUUUGCCAACAUUUAAUACCUGGCUAACGCUUGGUAUAAUUAAAUAUAUUGACAAAUAUUAUGUCUUCCCAUGUAAAAAUGAGCAUAGAGCAUGGCAUGACACAAUUAUUUCUUAUAUAGCACUUAUAUCAAAUUAGAAAUGUUAAAGUAAAUGAGUAAUAUUCAGUUUUUGUAUACGCUUCAUUUGUGAAUAGAAAUUUUGGAGAAUGUAAAAACCAAUGAAAAGUAAUACCUACCGUUCAUAUGAGAUUUUAGAGAAUGAAAUUCCCAAAGUGGUCACAUAAAUGACUGAAGGAACCAAGUAAUCUUUACCUCCAGAGAAGUUUUGGGUUUGGGUUCUAAUUCGCAACAUUUAUUAAAGGGUUUUAUGUGGGACAUACAUAAAAGAGAGACGAAAGAUACCAGAGGGAAGUCAAAUUCAUAGAUAGAAAACAAACUGACAACGCCAUGGUUAAAAAUAAAAAGACAAACAGACAAAUAAUAGUACAGAAGACACAACAUAGAAAACUAAAGACUAAGCAACACGAACACCACCAAAAACUGGGGUGAUCUCAUUCGCUCUGGAAGGGUAAGCAGAUCCUGCUCAACAUGUGGCACCCGUUGUGUUGCUUAUAUUAUUAAGCACAAGUAAUGCGAACCAAGACGGCACACUAAUGUGCAAAUCGCAAAGACUUAAAACCCAUAAUUUCGAUGAUUUUUUUUUUACCAGAAGCAAAUAAAAAAAAUUAUUGCGCUGGAAAGUAGAGUAAAUUCUGUAUGUAUUUAGAUUUUUUUUUAUUAAUGUGCCAGAACAAUUAACUUUAAAAUUCGAAAUAUGUGUGGUUGAUAAUAAAAAAAAAAUCAGCUAUUACUAACAAGAAUAAUUAUAGUGAAAGAUUGAUAGGUUGAUAAGACGCAUAAGUCACCGACUUUUUCAUACCAAUGAAAUUUUGAUAUUUUCACUCAUAUCAAUGGGUUAACACAGAGAAUAAAUAAAAUGAACUUUUUUUCUUUUAAUCUAUUUUAGGAGUUAUACCAUCAUACUACAACGAUGAAGUUGCCCUUGGAGUUUGCAAGGCAGAAGCUAAGUUUACCAUGUUAAUUUAUGGGUCAGUUUCUGCUGUUAGAAGAGUAUAUUCUUCUUUUCCUUUUCAUGGAAAAAAAUGUAAAGAUAUUUGCAAAGAAAUGGGUUCAAUGUAAGUAUUCCUAAAAAGUUUUGACAUUAGCAAGUCAAGAAAGUUUGAUAUAUAGUACACUAACUAAGAAUAGAGGAUUAUGGCAACUGCAUAUUUGAAUUUGGUCAUUUAACACUGAAAAAACAACUUUAUAUAAUAUUCUUAUAUGUGUCCUCGAUAUUAUUUUUCACUGCCAUAUCGUACCUACAUUUUCUAUCAAUACUAUAUUGGACAAACUUAUGUAUCACUUAUCCUGAUUUUAAAGUUAUAAUUUUAGAUUAUUGUUGAUCAUCUCAACUAGAUUGAUUUCUCCCUUCAGCUGGAACGGCGAAAAUGAGAAUAUCCGUUUAUUGCUAUUUUACCUAUGACGACGUUUUAAUUUCACUGACAACGGGCACGUGCGCCCUUAGUUUCUAGCGAUACUUUUUCAUAUCAAUCGACUAAGCUGGGAAAGGAAGUUAUCAGUCAGCAAGAAUCAAGGAAAAUUUCGUAAAAUAGCGAUAAUAUACUUUAUGUUGAAGAGAACACAUGAAACUUCAACUUUUAAAAUCGGCAAAUGGUCAAUUUUUAAAGUGCAAACACUAUCACUACCAAUCAACACUUGACAUGUAAACUAUCCACAAAUUAGGGAGGUAUCAGGACACUAAUAGUCAACUUCACAUAUAACAUGACUAGAAUUUCAAGAAAUCUCUUAAGAAAAAGCUCGUUAUAAAAAAAAAUAACAUAAUGACUGCUUUAUAUAAAUAUUAAUAUAUCCUGCCUUUUAAUUGCUCUACGGGUCCUCGGUGACCAAUUGGUCUAAGAAGUUCUAUUCCUAUAAUCACUAGCCAAUCAAUAAUGAGGUUGUGAUUUCGAACCCCGCACGUGCAAACGCACUCUACUCCAAUCUUAAUUGACUAGGAUCGUCAGUUUUCUUAUCGAAGGUCUGUGAUUUAUUCCGGGCAUUCUGGCUUCCUCCACCAAUAAAACCUGGUCGCCACGAAAGAGCUUGAAAUGGCGCAUUACAAUGACGUUAUAGCACCUACAAUCAAUCAAUCAAUCAACCAUUAAUUGCUCCAUUACGAUUUGAAUGUUCAUUUACCUAACAUAUAAAUUAACAGUGUUAACUUUUAUCUAUUUUUUUUAUAGAUAUCACUGUUUUGGAACCAUUCACAGCUUCAACACGACUAUGUACUAUACAUUAUAUGGUUGCGAUUCGACUCCUUAUGCAAACUAUUGCUGCUGUGAAAGAUAUCUUGGAGUCUAACACAAUGUGACAUGAAAUAAACUACUAAAAAGUUAUGGAUCAUUCUUAUACUACAAUGAGCAAAUAUACAAAACAUUUUAAUAAAUAUUAUCUUGAUUCUCUGACUGCUG
rnacentral:lncRNA from 1 species